UACGAAGGGGGCUAGCGUUGUUCGGAUUUACUGGGCGUAAAGCGCACGUAGGCGGAUAGUUAAGUGAGAGGUGAAAUCCCGAGGCUCAACCUCGGAACUGCCUUUCAUACUGGCUAUCUAGAGUCCGGAAGAGGUGAGUGGAACUCCUAGUGUAGAGGUGGAAGUCGUAGAUAUUAGGAAGAACACCAGUGGCGAAGGCGGCUCACUGGUCCGGUACUGACGCUGAGGUGCGAAAGCGUGGGGAGCAAACAGG
rnacentral:rRNA from 1 species